CACCCUUUGACCUUGGUGAUGAAUGUCUCUGGUGAAAACAUGUGACAAGCAGUGUUCUAAUGAGAACAAAAUACUGAAUAACUGGAAAUCUUGUAUAAUAAAAGGAGCGAGCAGGAGGGAAACACAACCACCUUUAAGGUUGCUGCACAAAAUGUAUUUGUAAUGGGGCAAUGAUAUGGGUUGGGAAGAAAAGAGGCUAUUUUUGGUUCUAAUCAUAUGGAUGGAAAUUCUGAUUUUUCUUCUUUGAUGUGUAAAAAAAGAGAAAAAAGGAGAAAGAGACAUUUCAGGAAAGCCGCACAUCAGAAAAUACUGGUCUCGACUGAAUUGCCAGCGCAGAUGGAGUGAAUCUACUGGCCUAAGGGGGAUUCAGAUGACUCGCUGCAUCUUGGAACACCUGCAAGUGGUGUCUGAGGAGAAGACAUGCAAGAGAAGAAACAUCUGCCUCCAUAAAUUGAUUUCUUCCGAUCUGGUCUGCUUAAGGUAAAAAACUCGCCCUGGGACCUCAUCCCUGACCUCCACCAGGUGGAUUUGAGAGAAGGAAACCUCAGGGCCAGCAAUCCCUCACCUCUUUCCACAAGAAUCUGCCAGGAAGAGAAAUAUCCAAAGUUCAUUUUGAGCCCUCAGCCUGGGAUUUAUGUGUGAUUUGUCAUGGACAUUAGGCAAUUUUUGGCACACAGACUGGAAGAAGAACAGAGCGAGGGAAGGCUCUGCCUGCCCAUCGAGAUUGUCCUCUCUGCAGCAGUCACUGUUGGAGACAUCUCUGGUUUGCACUCCCAGAUCAGUUGCACAGAAAAGGGAUCUAGUAGCUUCUCCCUAGUCACCCCUAUUCUGAGAAAACUGGAAAAAAUGGGUAAUAGUUAUAAGUACUUGGGGACUCUAGGGU
ensembl:lncRNA